rnacentral:rRNA from 1 species
AUUACAUAAACAAAAUUAUUCGCCAGAGUACUACUAGCAACAGCUUAAAACUCAAAGGACUUGGCGGUGCUUUAUAUCCUUCUAGAGGAGCCUGUUCUAUAAUCGAUAAACCCCGAUAAACCUCACCAAUUCUUGCUAAUACAGUCUAUAUACCGCCAUCUUCAGCAAACCCUAAAAAGGAAAAAAAGUAAGCGUAAUUAUGAUACAUAAAAACGUUAGGUCAAGGUGUAACCUAUGAAAUGGGAAGAAAUGGGCUACAUUCUCUACACUAAGAGAAUCAAGCACGAAAGUUAUUAUGAAACCAAUAACCAAAGGAGGAUUUAGCAGUAAACUAAGAAUAGAGUGCUUAGUUGAAUUAGGCCAUGAAGCACGCACACACCGCCCGUCACCCUCA